rnacentral:tRNA from 1 species
GUCUUCGUGGUGUAGUGGUGGUCAGCACGCUCGGUGGGUAUUCGAGAGGUCCGUGGUUCGAGUCCCGGUGAGGGCA